rnacentral:rRNA from 1 species
CGGGAAGAGCUCAAAUUUGAAAUCUGGCGGUCUACGGCCGUCCGAGUUGUAGUCUAGAGAAGCGUCUUCCGUGCCGGACCGUGUACAAGUCCCUUGGAAUGGGGCGUCAUAGAGGGUGAGAAUCCCGU